CUGUUCUUUUUAGAAUUGUAUGUCUUGAUGUUUAUCUUAUCUAGCCAUCUAUUCUCUUGUUUUUGGCUAUGUGAAUGAACGUCCGCGUCGAUGCCUCGCAAGUCCAGUGUCGCGAGCGGACGUUGCCAUGACAUCUAGAAAUCAUACCGUAUUUAAUGGGUUAUCAUUAAUAUUGAUGUGUAGGGGUUGAUUAUAACUCGUGAAUAAUAUUGUUUAGACCACGGUCUGGUUGUCUGAAAUGUUUACACACAUUUCCCGGGGCCCCGAGAACGACAUAUCCGAGAUUUGGAGUUCUAGCACUUAGCGAAAAAAAGUUUUCCCAAAUGGACUGUCAUUUGGACAAACCCCCUCAGAAGUGUUGCCUGCAAGACCUAAUGGUUCAGAAUGUGGUGGAAAAACCUGCCCUCGGGGUCUGACCGGGCCAAGUUUCGGGCAGGAAGGGCCCCCCCUUCCUGCCCUCGGGGUCCGACCGGGCCAAGUUUCAGUGCGGGGGCCCCAGUUAGGAGAACAACAGAGCUACGAUGUCUGGAUGCAGGGGUUUGACUCAGGGCAGAGCAAGCAGGGGACACUGCUAGGGGGAAUAGGAAUCCAUUCAUGGGAGAAUCGGGACUCUUUGAUUAAGCGAUACUUGAUUGAGUAACGUUGUCAGAUUGACACAAAUCAGUACCUUCCUAUAGAGUGCGCUCUAUAGGAAAGUAUUGAUUUGUGUCUCUCUGACAACAUUGCUCAAUCAAGUAUCGCUUAAUGUUAUGCGUACUCGACAAUCGUCCAUUUGCAUUGAGGACCUGUAGAACAGAAACCACCACGUAAACCUUCCAGAAAGAUCGAAAUACCGUACCACAAUAUUUACAGAAUCUCAGUAUUCAGCGGCUUUCCAUAUCGCAUCGUCCCGGCUGAUUCCAGACCCUAGGAGAGACUGCGGUGGGCGGGGCAAGGGGGGAUGUGAACCAAUCACCUUCAGGGAAGCCAGAGAUGGUGCGGAUGUCCUCCAGCUGGACCUUGGCCUCCAGGGUCAUCCUCAGGGUGGACGUGUUGAGGCGCUUCUGCUCACACACACACACACACACACACACACACACACACACACACACACACACACACACACACACACACACACACACACACACCAGAAGUGAAGACUAGAAUGGAGUUGAUUUCUAAAAUUGCUGGUUUGGUCAUGUGAUGUUUAAUUCAAACCACAUCGUAUAACAUUUAUAGCGCCUAGAAGGGCUGCACUAGUAACUAGGGCCCCAUCCUAUUAUCCCCCCUAGCCCUAGAUUUGAGCCCUAGCCCUAGAAGUUGUGCGUUCCCUCGGAGGGGUAGGGUGAUCCAAUACUUAGGAGCAAGAGAGAGGGCCUAUUUCCCCUUAAUGUCCCUUGGCAGCUCGCCAGCUCGGUACCUCACUUACAGCCAAGGGAGUAUCACGUAUGACCCAGGACACGUUGAGAACUCAGCAAGCGGCUAUUUUUCCAUGUUUCUCAAACAGUUAUACAUUAUGUUAAAUUAUUUAUCCGUAGACUGGAUUUAACUGUACGAUCUGAAUGUGUAGGUUGUCUUAUUUUCGACACGAGUAACAUUUUCGAACGUGAACGAAAAUAGUAGUAGGCUCCUUCCUGUAGUGUAGACACGUCGGUGCUGCGCGUGACGUAGGGGAGCACGUUCACUAAGCUAAUUUGCAUAAUAUUAAUGAUAGUGGUGUCACAUUUCAUAGGGAACGAUCUUCACUAUCACUUCACUCUUUACUGUGGAGGGAAGUGUUCUCGUUAAGGGGAGAGGAAUGGGACAGGGCCUAGUACUCAUCUAACGAAGCAAGGAUCAACAAUAUAAAGUCACUGAUUAAAAUAGUAACAGGUAACUGUUGGAAGAGCGAAGAGUAACUUCAAUACAAGCACUAGUAACUCAAAUCAGUUUGGCUUCUGGACGCAGUGUUCAAACAUAGAUACAGAAUAGACGGGAAUGAGCGCUGGUGGUGGGGAACAGGACGCUCACUUGAAGAGGCCUCCCAUGAUCAUCAUCCCCUCCCUCCUCCCCCUCUUCCUCCCCCACCACCACCUCCACCGCCUCCUCCUCCUUCUUCACCUCCUUGUCCCCCUCCUCCUCUUCCCCUCCUCCCUCCUCUAUGAUAUGUAAACGAGCGGUUAUGGUGGGAGCAGGACGCUCCCUUGAAGAUGCCUCCCAUGACCAUCAUCUCGCCCAGGCGGGGCUCCACGGUGGGCCACGGGGCGUCCCAGAGAGGGCAGCUCGUCGUUGCUGUCCACAGCGUCCACUUCUGGUCGACCAACCCCAAGGAAACAUCAACAAUCCCCACAGUAAGUAAGAGUGGAUGACGUACACCGCGUCGUUGAGGGUGAUGCUGGUCUCUGCCAUGUUGGUGGACAGGACGACCUGCAGGAGGCAGGGAACAACAACAGGAGAUGGACAGGCAAGGGUGGAUUCCAGGCAGCUGGGCAGGCAGAGGAGCACACGGGGUGGAUGGCAGGCAGCUACGGGGUUGGUGAUCCUGGGGCGAGGACAACGCGGAGAUUUAAAGGUCCCAUGACAUGCCACCAGGUGUGGUGUGAUUAGCCGUUACAAGCCGUUUUGGAAAUCGGCCCCUUAUGACAUCACAGGUGGGCGUGUCCACCUAGAUGUGUGCUGGGUAGAUCAGUCUACCAGCCUACCCAGUGGACUGUAGCAAACGUUGCUCAUCUCUGCGUCAAGUUAUUAAAGAUAUGUGCAACUGUUUAUGAUUUGUAUUUGUUAAUAAACCAUAAAGUUACAA